rnacentral:rRNA from 1 species
GAGCUAACGCGUUAAGUAGACCGCCUGGGGAGUACGGCCGCAAGGUUAAAACUCAAAUGAAUUGACGGGGGCCCGCACAAGCGGUGGAGCAUGUGGUUUAAUUCGAUGCAACGCGAAGAACCUUACCUGGUCUUGACAUCCACAGAACUUUCCAGAGAUGGACUGGUGCCUUCGGGAACUGUGAGACAGGUGCUGCAUGGCUGUCGUCAGCUCGUGUUGUGAAAUGUUGGGUUAAGUCCCGCAACGAGCGCAACCCUUAUCCUUUGUUGCCAGCGGUUAGGUCGGGAACUCAAAGGAGACUGCCAGUGAUAAACUGGAGGAAGGUGGGGAUGACGUCAAGUCAUCAUGGCCCUUACGACCAGGGCUACACACGUGCUACAAUGGCGCAUACAAAGAGAAGCGACCUCGCGAGAGCAAGCGGACCUCAUAAAGUGCGUCGUAGUCCGGAUUGGAGUCUGCAACUCGACUCCAUGAAGUCGGAAUCGCUAGUAAUCGUGGAUCAGAAUGCCACGGUGAAUACGUUCCCGGGCCUUGUACACACCGCCCGUCACACCAUGGGAGUGGGUUGCAAAAGAAGUAGGUAGCUUAACCUUCGGGAGGGCGCUUACCACUUUGUGAUUCAUGACUGGGGUGAAGUCGUAACAAGGUAACCGUAGGGGAACCUGCGGUUGGAUCACCUCCUUA